UACGUAGGUCCCGAGCGUUGUCCGGAUUUAUUGGGCGUAAAGCGAGCGCAGGUGGUUUAUUAAGUCUGGUGUAAAAGGCAGUGGCUCAACCGGAGAAUUGCAUCAGAAACUGUUGAACUUGAGUGCAGAAGAGGAGAGUGGAACUCCAUGUGUAGCGGUGGAAUGCGUAGAUAUAUGGAAGAACACCAGUGGCGAAGGCGGCUCUCUGGUCUGCAACUGACGCUGAGGCUCGAAAGCAUGGGUAGCGAACAGG
rnacentral:rRNA from 1 species